AACACCUCAAUUUCAUGAUUUUUUAUUUUGAAAUUGGACUUGAGCAUAUCCCAACGUGUAAUUAAUUAUAUGGAGGGUUGCUUCAAAUGCAGGUGCAGCCGAUCAUUCUUCUGGGCUAAAAGCAUUAUCUAGUUAGUCCCGUAAAACGGAUUAUUCAUUUUAUUGCUGCAGCUUACCUUAUAAAAGGAAGACAUGGCCAUUGUGCUGACUGAUGCAGGAUUUCUCAGAGGGUCUGCAAAGACCUUUUGAAA
rnacentral:misc_RNA from 1 species